AUGGCCAAGUAUUUUUGGAGUAGUUCUCUUGACAAGAAAGCAAUGCAUUGGGUGUCCUGGAAGGAGCUAGCUACACCCAAGUGCAAGGGCGGGAUGGGGGUCAGAGAUCCGCAUUUUUUUAACCUUGCUAUGCUGGGCAAACACGGAUGGCGUUUCCUCAUCAACCCGAACUCCCUCUGUGCAAGAGUUCUAAAGGGUCGUUACUUUCCCGACACUGAUUUCAUGAAUGCUACUAUACCCAAGUCAGCGUCUGCCACUUGGAGGGCGAUCAUGGCGGGGAGAGAAGCCCUUCGAUCUGGAUUGAUCUUUCGAGUGGGCGAUGGCUCCUCCAUAUCAGUCUGGAACGAUAAGUGGAUCCCA
rnacentral:rRNA from 1 species